AUGGCUGCCGAGAGCCCAGCAUACUACUCGCUCCUCCUGCCUCUCCUUCUGGUCGUAGUACCUGCGCUCUACCUGGUGGGGGUGUUCCGCAGCCGCAGGAGGUCGGCCGGGCGACAACGGUUUCCUCCGGGGCCAUGGGCGCUGCCGGUGAUCGGCCACCUGCACCACCUCGCCGGCUCGUCGGUCCCGCCGCACCACGCCAUGCGCGACCUGGCUCGGCGCCACGGCCCGCUCAUGCUGCUCCGGUUCUGCCAGCUCCCGGUGCUCGUGGCCUCCUCCCCGGACGCGGCGCGCGAGAUCAUGAAGACCCACGACGUGGCCUUCGCGUCGCGGCCCCUCAGCCCGACCAUGCAGCUCUUCCUGCGUGGCUCCGAGGGCCUCGUCUUCGCGCCGUACGGCGACGGAUGGCGGCAGCUCCGCAAGAUCUGCACCCUCGAGCUCCUCAGCAACCGCCGCGUCCACUCCUUCCGCGCUGUCAGAGCGGAGGUGCUGGGACGCCUCCUCCGCUCCGUCGCGUCGUCGGCGUCGGCGUCAGCGUCCGAGAACUUGACCCGGGGGCUGGCGUCGUUCGUCGCGGACUCCUCGGUUCAGGCCAUGAUCGGCCGCCUGAGGAACGACGACCGCGACACUCUGUUCACGCUGCUGCGGGAGGGGUUUAAGAUCGUGCCGGGGAUGACCCUGCCGGACCUUUUCCCGUCGUCACGGCUCGCUAUGCUCCUCAGCCGCGUGCCCGCCCGGAUCGACCACCGCAACAAACGCAUGGCUGCCUUCAUGGACUCCGUCAUCCAGCAGCAUCGGGACAAGAAGAGAUCGGCCGCUUGCGCCGACGGCGGAGAGGAACAAGCCGAGGACUUGCUUGACGUGCUCUUGAGGCUCCAGGACGACAUGGGCUCUCAGUAUCCCCUCACCACGGAGAACAUCAAAUUGGUCAUCAUAGACAUGAUUAGUGCGAGCAGCGAGACCACGUCGACGACGCUGGUCUGGGCAAUGGCCGAGCUGCUGCGGAAGCCGGCGGCCAUGCGGAAGGCGCAAGACGAGGUCCGGCGACAGCUCGAUGGCCACCGCAGGGUGACGGAGGACGGCCUGGCAGACCUGCACUACCUGCGCCUAGUCAUCAAGGAGACGCUCAGGCUGCACCCGCCGGUGAUGCUCAUCCGGGAGUGCGGCCCGCGGCAGCAGGUGCUCGGCUUCGACGUGCCACAGGGCGCCAUGGUGCUGGUCAACGCCUGGGCGAUGGGCAGGGACCCGGCCCACUGGGACUCCGCCGGAGAGUUCCUUCCGGAGAGGUUUGAGAGCAGCGGCACGCCGGACUUCAAGGGGGUGGACUUCGAGUUCCUGCCGUUCGGCGCCGGCCGGAGGAUAUGCCCCGGCGUCUCCUUCGGCCUCGUGCACCUCGAGCUCGCCCUCGCGGCGCUGCUCUUCCAUUUCGACUGGAAGCUGCCGGACGGGAUGGUCCCCGAGGAGCUGGACAUGACCGAGGAGGCCGGGCUCACCACGCGCCGGCGGGCCGAGCUAGUGGUGUUCGCUGUCCCUCAUGUUCCUCUUCCCAUAGAUCAGUAG
rnacentral:rRNA from 1 species